rnacentral:rRNA from 1 species
CGUCUGGAAAGGCGCGCGAUACAGGGUGACAGCCCCGUACACAAAAAUGCACAUGCUGUGAGCUCGAUGAGUAGGGCGGGACACGUGGUAUCCUGUCUGAAUAUGGGGGGACCAUCCUCCAAGGCUAAAUACUCCUGACUGACCGAUAGUGAACCAGUACCGUGAGGGAAAGGCGAAAAGAACCCCGGCGAGGGGAGUGAAAAAGAACCUGAAACCGUGUACGUACAAGCAGUGGGAGCCUCUUUUAUGGGGUGACUGCGUACCUUUUGUAUAAUGGGUCAGCGACUUAUAUUCUGUAGCAAGGUUAACCGAAUAGGGGAGCCGAAGGGAAACCGAGUCUUAACUGGGCGUUAAGUUGCAGGGUAUAGACCCGAAACCCGGUGAUCUAGCCAUGGGCAGGUUGAAGGUUGGGUAACACUAACUGGAGGACCGAACCGACUAAUGUUGAAAAAUUAGCGGAUGACUUGUGGCUGGGGGUGAAAGGCCAAUCAAACCGGGAGAUAGCUGGUUCUCCCCGAAAGCUAUUUAGGUAGCGCCUCGUGAAUUCAUCUCCGGGGGUAGAGCACUGUUUCGGCAAGGGGGUCAUCCCGACUUACCAACCCGAUGCAAACUGCGAAUACCGGAGAAUGUUAUCACGGGAGACACACGGCGGGUGCUAACGUCCGUCGUGAAGAGGGAAACAACCCAGACCGCCAGCUAAGGUCCCAAAGUCAUGGUUAAGUGGGAAACGAUGUGGGAAGGCCCAGACAGCCAGGAUGUUGGCUUAGAAGCAGCCAUCAUUUAAAGAAAGCGUAAUAGCUCACUGGUCGAGUCGGCCUGCGCGGAAGAUGUAACGGGGCUAAA